rnacentral:lncRNA from 1 species
GUUCAAUCAGUUGCUAAGUCUUGCAUUCUAUUCAUAUCUUCACAUUUAACUGUUAUUCCAUCUCCAUUACUGAUGAGGUCAUAUUGAGGGUGUCAUAUUGACUUGAUGGGUAUGAGGUACUGGCUAAGAAAUCUAUGAACCAGAAGGCUAUGAAGUGAACUAUGAUGAAUGAUGAAAGUCAAAAGAUAUAAUGUAGGUGCUGCCAGAAAAAACCAUAACCAAGUUCAUUUGGAAGAACAAAAGAUCAAGGAUAUCCAUGGAAAUCAUGAAAAAAAAAAUGUGAAGGAAGGAGGCCUUGCAGUCCGAGAUCUCAAAUUAUACUAUAAAGCAGUGGUUAUCAAAACAAUUUGCUACUGGCUAAGAGACAGAAAGGAAGAUCAGUGGAAUAUACUUGGGGAGCUGAUUUCUGUGGAACAGCCAUUUUUGAAGAAGGCUGAAUGGGGGAAGUGGUUCUGAAAUCUCUUUUUCCAUAACUUCCAGCAGCAGCUAGUAGGUACUCAAUCAACAUUUGAAUAAAUAAACUUUAAAUAAAUAUUGAACCUUAGUU